rnacentral:rRNA from 1 species
AUUGAACGCUAGCGGGAUGCUUUACACAUGCAAGUCGAACGAGUGGCGGACGGGUGAGUAAUAUAUCGGAAUGUGCCCAGUAGCGGGGGAUAACUACUCGAAAGAGUGGCUAAUACCGCAUACUCUUGGAGCGGCCGAUAUCGGAUUGGCUAGUGGGUGGGGUAAAGGCUCACCAAGGAAACGAGCCGUAGCUGGUUUGAGAGGACGACCAGCCACACGGGGACUGUGACACGGCCCAGACUCCUACGGGAGGCAGCAGUGGGGAAUUUUUGACAAUGGUGGAAACCCUGAUCCAGCCAUCCCGCGUGUAUGAGAAGGCCUUCGGGUUGUAAAGUACUUUCAGUCGUGAGGCGUUACCUACAGAGGAAGCACCGGCUAACUCCGUGCCAGCAGCCGCGGUAAUAC